AGUCGUAACAAGGUAUCCGUAGGUGAACCUGCGGAUGGAUCAUUAUAGGGUGUUGGGUAAUUGUGAGUGGUUUUAUUAGUAGUUUGAGCGGUGUUGGUUGGGAUGCGAAGCAGGAUUGCUUGCAGGAUUGCCAAGCAGGAUUGCCAAGCAAGACAGCCAACAUUGCCUCACGUUAAACUCUAUAAAUCUAACAAUUACAUACAAAAAAAAACAACUUUUAGCAACGGAUCUCUUGGCUCUC
rnacentral:misc_RNA from 1 species